UAGGGAAUAUUGGUCAAUGGGCGGAAGCCUGAACCAGCCAUGCCGCGUGCAGGAAGACGGCCUUCUGGGUUGUAAACUGCUUUUACCAGGGAACAAAUAGGCCAUGCGUGGCAAGUUGAGUGUACCUGGAGAAUAAGCACCGGCUAACUCCGUGCCAGCAGCCGCGGUAAUACGGAGGGUGCAAGCGUUGUCCGGAUUUAUUGGGUUUAAAGGGUGCGUAGGCGGCCGAUUAAGUCAGUGGUGAAAUGCUACAGCUCAACUGUGGACCUGCCAUUGAAACUGGUUGGCUUGAGUAUAGUCGGGGUAGGCGGAAUUUAUGGUGUAGCGGUGAAAUGCAUAGAUACCAUAAGGAACCCCGAUAGCGAAGGCAGCUUACUAGGCUAUAACUGACGCUGAGGCACGAAAGCGUGGGGAGCGAACAGGAUUAGAUACCCCCGUAGUCC
rnacentral:rRNA from 1 species